GGGGAUUUGGCUCAGAGGUAGAGCGCUUGCCUAGCAAGUGCAAGGCCCUGGGUUCGGUCCCCAGCUCCA
rnacentral:tRNA from 1 species